rfam:Salmo salar isolate Sally breed double haploid chromosome ssa25, whole genome shotgun sequence.
GCUCAGUUGGUAGAGCAUGGUGUUUGCAACGCCAGCAUGGUGUGUGCAACGCCAGGGUUGUGGGUUCGAUUCCCAC